AUUGAACGCUGGCGGCAGGCUUAACACAUGCAAGUCGAACGAGUGGCGGACGGGUGAGUAAUGCUUUGGAAUCUAGCUUAUGGAGGGGGAUAACUACGGGAAACUGUAGCUAAUACCGCGUACCAUAGGAUGAGCCCAAGUGGGAUUAGUUAGUUGGUGAGGUAAAGGCUCACCAAGCCGACGAUACCUAGCUGGUCUGAGAGGAUGAUCAGCCACAAUGUGACUGAGACACGGCCGAGACUGCUACGGGGGACAGCAGUGGGGAAUAUUGCGCAAUGGGGGAAGUCUGACGCAGCCAUGCCGCGUGAAUGAAGAAGGCCUUCGGGUUGUAAAGUUUUUUCAGUAGCGAGGCGUUAACUACAGAUGAAGCACCGGCUAACUCCGUGGCAGCAGCCGCGGUAAUAG
rnacentral:rRNA from 1 species